AGAGUUUGAUCCUGGCUCAGGAUGAACGCUGGCGGCGUGCUUAACACAUGCAAGUCGAACGGGAAUGCCGCGCUGAUGCGAUUUCGGUCAAAUCAUGUGGCAUUCGAGUGGCGGACGGGUGAGUAACGCGUGGGUAACCUGCCUUACACAGGGGGAUAACACCUGGAAACAGGUGCUAAUACCGCAUAAGCGCACAGGGCCGCAUGGCCCGGUGUGAAAAACUCCGGUGGUGUAAGAUGGACCCGCGUCUGAUUAGCUUGUUGGCGGGGUAGGGGCCCACCAAGGCGACGAUCAGUAGCCGGCCUGAGAGGGUGGACGGCCACAUUGGGACUGAGACACGGCCCAAACUCCUACGGGAGGCAGCAGUGGGGGAUAUUGGACAAUGGGGGAAACCCUGAUCCAGCGACGCCGCGUGAGUGAAGAAGUAUUUCGGUAUGUAAAGCUCUGUCAGCAGGGAAGAAAGAAAUGACGGUACCUGACCAAGAAGCCCCGGCUAACUACGUGCCAGCAGCCGCGGUAAUACGUAGGGGGCAAGCGUUAUCCGGAAUUACUGGGUGUAAAGGGAGCGUAGACGGUGAUGCAAGUCUGGAGUGAAAGGCGGGGGCCCAACCCCCGGACUGCUCUGGAAACUGUGUAACUUGAGUGCAGGAGAGGUAAGCGGAAUUCCUAGUGUAGCGGUGAAAUGCGUAGAUAUUAGGAGGAACACCAGUGGCGAAGGCGGCUUACUGGACUGUAACUGACGUUGAGGCUCGAAAGCGUGGGGAGCAAACAGGAUUAGAUACCCUGGUAGUCCACGCCGUAAACG
rnacentral:rRNA from 1 species